ACUCACUAGCUCAGUUGGUAGAGCAUGAGACUCUUAAUCUCAGGGUCAUAGGUUAAAGCCCCACAUUGGGUU
rnacentral:tRNA from 1 species